CGUUUACUCUCUCUUUUACUUCCUUCUUCUUCAUUAUUCCUUUGCUUUUUGAUUUUCUUCUUCUCCUUCUUCCUCUGUUGAUUAUUGAUCUCUUCUGUUUCUCUGUAUUAUUGUUUUUUUUGAAGUUACUUCUUUGCAUCCGGGAAGUGUUGCAUGAGAGCCAGACAAUUGAAAGUUUUGAAGCUCAGACAUAGCUAUUGUCAAUUGAAACUUAUGUACUAGCGGAGAUUAGACUUGGAUAUUCCGGAGUAGGUGAGCUUUGGUUUUAAUUUUUUCUAUUGCUUUCGGUGCUUUUCCUUUAUGGUCAUACGAAGGAAAUUUUUCACAAGCUCUAACAUUUGAUGCAUGCUUUUGGAGGUGAUUGAUUUUCUUCCUUUUUAAUUUUUUGACUGAAAUAGUCUGGUCUCUUCUUCAAGAACAAUAAAAAUGUAUUUGAGAUUUCGGAUAAAGUCUCUAACGUCUUUGAUCUGCAUUCUGCAUGUUCUCCUAUCGUUUGUUGUACAUGGAAAAAAAAAUCUUAUUCUACCAGUAGAAUGGAAAAAUAUCAACACCGAUGAUGAUUCUCUUACUGAACUCUCUAACAACUGUCUAAUAUUACGACAUAUUACAAGUUUUGGAUUACUUUUUUUUUUUUUUUUUGCAUAAUUCGGAACGAAGUUGAUUUAUUUCCUGUUUUUAUGAGAUUGCAAUUGCAUUGAACUAGAGCAAUUAUGUUGAUUUGUCUAUAUCACUGGAAACACUC